AUGGGGGUGGGCUAUUCUCACAUCUCUGUUAGUCCCGCCCUUCUUAUUUUGAUCCUGCUAGUUAUGCCAAAUAGUUUUUCAUCAGAUCGAUGCAGAUGUAUGGAAGCAUUAUUUUUAAGGCAGAGGCAGAUAGAUUUGUGGUCUUGCUCAGAACAGAAGGGUUUGUGUGUGCCAUAUCGUUUUCCUGUGUUACUUUCUGUUAGUCACAUGCUAACCAGGCAAAGCUUGAUUAGGACUGGGAGGGGUUGUUCAGCACGAGCUAUACUGCCUGCCUUAGCUCAUUUUGGAGCAUGGCCCACCAACACACACUACACCAUUGUCUUCGCAGAUCUAAGCAUAUAUUCAUGA
rnacentral:rRNA from 1 species